CCUACGGGCGGCAGCAGUGAGGAAUAUUGGUCAAUGGGAGAGAUCCUGAACCAGCCAAGCCGCGUGAGGGAAGACGGCCCUAUGGGUUGUAAACCUCUUUUGUCGGAGCACAAAACCCGGGACGUUUCCCGGACUGCGUGUAUCCGAACAAAAAGCAUCGGCUAACUCCGUGCCAGCAGCCGCGGUAAUACGGGGGAUGCGAGCGUUAUCCGGAUUUAUUGGGUUUAAGGGGUGCGUAGGCGGUCCGUUAAGUCAGCGGUAAAAUUGCGGGGGUCAACCCCGUCGGGCCGUUAGAACUGGCAAACUUGAGUUGGCGAGAAGUACGCGGAAUGCGCGGUGUAGGGGUGAAAUGCAUAGAUAUCGCGCAGAACUCCGAUUGCGAAGGCAGCGUACCGGCGCCAGACUGACGCUGAGGCACGAAAGCGUGGGGAUCGAACAGGAUUAGAUACCCUGGUAGUC
rnacentral:rRNA from 1 species